CGGGGAGACCGCGUUUAGAGGAUCAGUGGCGGCGGGCCCGCGCGGUGCCGGCGACUAGCAGCGAGAUGUCCUGGCCCCUUCCAGGUUUGGAGAUGGCCUUGGGAGAGCAACCUCCGGACCUCAGCAGUGUGAGGAUGACAACAGUACCCUGUGGUGCUGUCCCCACUCAGGGUUUCUCUCUGUAGCCCCAACUGUCCUGGAACUCACUCUGCAGACCAGGCUGUCCUCAAGCUCAGAGAUCUACCUGCCUCUGCCUCUGAAGUACUGGGAUUAAAGAUGCAGAGGCCUCCCAGAGAAGUGUGAAGGAAUGGGCCUUAACCAGGGUUGAAGAAAGAAAGUGAAGAAGGGGAGAGCCCAAGGAAAGGUGGGGACAGUUGGAACUUUUGUUUACACUGGUCUACUACUCAUGUAUCGUAUGCUAUAAUCUCCAAAUUCCACAUUUAUUGUAGCUGUCUGCCCCGGCCGCAUGCUGCUUGGCUAAAAAAGUGUUAAAUAAAACUGUAAGAAACGCUA
ensembl:lincRNA Lhx1os LIM homeobox 1, opposite strand